rnacentral:tRNA from 1 species
UGCGAGAUAGUGUAAUGGUAACACGCUAGUUUCAUGGUCUGGUAUCGAGUGGUUCGAUUCCCUCUCUCGCGU